CUACGGAGGAUCCGAGCGUUAUCCGGAUUUAUUGGGUUUAAAGGGUGCGCAGGCGGCCAUUUAAGUCAGCGGUUAAAUCGUGGGGCUAAACCCCAUUCUGCCGUUGAUACUGGGUGGCUUGAUUGCGGUCGAGGUCGGCGGAAUUCGUUGUGUAGCGGGGAAAUGCAUAGAUAUGACGAAGAACACCGAUUGCGUAGGCAGCUGACCAGAUCGCAAAUGACGCUCAUGCACGAAAGUGCGGGGAUCGAACAGGAUUAGAUACCCUGGUAGUCCGCACAGUAAACGAUGAAUACUUGUUUUCGGCGAUAUAAUGUCGGAGGCAAAGCGAAAGCGAUAAGUAUUCCACCUGGGGAGUACGCCGGCAACGGUGAAACUCAAAUGAAUUGACGGGG
rnacentral:rRNA from 1 species